UAACCUGGUGAACCAAAACAUUGUAGUAACCAGAGGAAAGGAAAUCAAACGAGACUCCAUAAGUAGCGGCGAGCGAACGUGGACCAGCCAACAUACAAUUAUAUUCCAUUUCAAAACCUUGGAACAGGUUAUACAAGUAUUUGCUCUGCAAAUACGGCCACUCGGCUCUGCCGAGAACCAGAGAGGGUGAUAGUCCCGUAGAGUGAAAUUAGUUGUGUUUUUAGUAGAAUUGGUUUAUAAACUGAUUUGGUAUUAAGAAUGGAGAACCAUCUCCUGGGCUAAGUAUGGCAUGUUCAGCGAUAGUGAAUAGUACUGUAAAGGAAACGAUGAAAAAGUAAGUAGAUGACUGGUGAAAUAGAACCUGAAUUAGCACUCAUAUAAGCAGUCAGAGCAAUAUGAUAUUGUGAUGGCGUACCUUUUGUAUAAUGGGGCAGCAACUUAUUCUAGC
rnacentral:rRNA from 1 species